CCUACGGGUGGCAGCAGUGGGGAAUAUUGGACAAUGGGCGAAAGCCUGAUCCAGCCAUGCCGCGUGUGUGAAGAAGGCCUUCGGGUUGUAAAGCACUUUCAGUGGGGAAGAAAGCCUUGGGGCUAAUACCCUCGAGGAAGGACAUCACCCACAGAAGAAGCACCGGCUAACUCCGUACCAGCAGCCGCGGUAAUACGGAGGGUGCGAGCGUUAAUCGGAAUUACUGGGCGUAAAGCGCGCGUAGGCGGUCUGAUAAGCCGGUUGUGAAAGCCCCGGGCUCAACCUGGGAACGGCAUCCGGAACUGUCAGGCUAGAGUGCAGGAGAGGAAGGUAGAAUUCCCGGUGUAGCGGUGAAAUGCGUAGAGAUCGGGAGGAAUACCAGUGGCGAAGGCGGCCUUCUGGACUGACACUGACGCUGAGGUGCGAAAGCGUGGGUAGCAAACAGGAUUAGAUACCCGAGUAGUC
rnacentral:rRNA from 1 species